CCUUCUCGCCUCCCUCCUUCUUUCCUUCCCUCCCUCCCUCCUUCCUUUCUUUCUAGUAUUGGGAACUGAAUCUAGAUCUUUACAAUAAGCUACAUCCCCAGCCCUUUUCUUACUUUUUAGUUUGAGACAGGGUCUUGGUAGGUUGCUAUGUUGCCUGGGGGUGGACUCGAACUUGUGAUCCUCCUGCCUCAGCCUCUGAGUGCUGGGAUUAUAGAUAGCUGCGUGCCACCAUGCUUGGCUGUAAGAUGGCAUUUCUGAUCUCAACCCUCCCAGCCUGCCUGAAAGGAAUGGUAAAACGCUCAAAAGAGAUAAAAUACUCUGUGAGGCUUGUGGGUGUUACUGGCAAGACCACAGGUGACAGUGGAGUCCGUGGAGGAAAGCACUGAGGUCACAGUGGAUAGAAGGAGUUACAAAGAGCAUAAGAUGGAUAGAUGGAGAGGUGAGGCCAGUCUGACACAAGAAGAAGAAUCGCAGAAGCAGAGAGACAGGGAGAGACAAAGAGCAGGGUGUAGAAACAAAGAGGAAGAUAGAGACAGAGAGGGACUCCUUAGGAGAAAGGAGUCAGGGAAGCUCAGGUUGCUUAAGGGGCUGGCCGCCUCAGCAUCCUCAGCAAGCUUUCCUGGACAGCGAGGAGGUUGGACUGGGUGGCGCCUGCCCUGAGGCUUGCACCGCCUUUUGCCUGGACCCUCUCCCUUCCUCUAGUUCAAGCCGUACCUAGGCUUCUGUCUGGUCCAGGGCUCCUGCCUCUUGUCCCUUUGCUGUUCUGCAGCAAAGAGGCCAGAGCUAGGUGUAAGUGCCCUCCCUGCCCCCACCCCAGUGCCUGGGACGGGCACAUGCCUGUCAUCACUAUGGCUGUACUCAGGUCUCCCGCUCCUGGAGCAGCCACAGCAAUCUCAGGGGCCUCGAGACAACAAACGACUCCCUGCUGAUGGGCUGCUCACCGCCUCCUGCCCGCCGGCCCGUUCCGCUGCACACAGGCGGAUAAUCAUCCCAGCUGUCACCAGGGCCAGGAAGGAGAAGAGACCAGGGAAGGCCUCAGUGCUGGAGGGCAGCCAUGUGGGAAAGCUGAACUUCGCCUGUGAACAGUGUUUCGAGCUAGAGGAUACUAAAGAAGGAAGAGGAGAAGAGGAGGAAGAUGAGGAGAUCCUGGCUGGUUCCAAGCAGUGGACGUCUUGCCUGGCAUUGCUGCUGCCCUCUUGCAGCAAGGGUGGAAGGUGGCCCCACCCUUUGCUGGAACACCUGCGGCUAGGCUUCCAUGCACCUCUGCUCCAAGGACUCCUCCGCUUGGCUUGUCUAACUAGAGUGACUUCUGCCAUCGCUGGACAUUCUCUGGGAUUUGACUUAAGGUGUUCUUCCUCCCGUCUCUAUCCCUGUGGGGUAACCUCACCUGGACAUGGUUCUGCUCAUGUGCUGACUGUCUGUGGCUGGAUCUUCCCCUCGCUGGAAUCCUGA
rnacentral:lncRNA from 1 species